UGACUUCCUCAUUUACAAGUUAUUUCUUGCAGGCUGUUGGAAAAAGCAGCACAACUUUGAAGGAACUUCACCUCUCUACACUUUCAUCUUUCAUCUGCUCAAAAGACCUGAACAAAAUAUGGCUGCAGGUCUGACUCUCCAUCUCAUUGGCUGUCUGCUGCAAAGUGCCUUGUGUGGACAGUUUGGGGUCACUGUGCCGCAGACUAUACAGGUUCUGAGAGGAUCCUGUGUGACCAUCCCCUGCUCUUUUGAUGUAGAGAACAACUAUGAAUCAAACUUGGAUAACACAUGUAAAGCAUUAUGGAAAAAUGAUCAAGACACUGUUGUGUUUAAUAGCAGUGCUCCACAACAAACUACAAUAAAAGGAGAAUUGACAGGAGACCUAAUAAAAAAAGACUGCACCACAACUCUGAAUAACAUGCAACCUGAACACAGCAAGAAAUAUUCCUUCAGAGUGGAAUGCAACAACGCCCUAAAAUA